ensembl:lncRNA
GGUGUUAGAUAUAGGUUGGUGGUGCUAGAUAAGGGUCAUGGUGUUAGAUAUAGGUUGGUGGUGUUAGAUGUAGGGUGGUGGUGUUAGAUGUAGGGGUGGGGUGAUGUUAAAUAUAGGGUGGUGGUAUUAGAUGUAGCGUGGUGGUGUUAGAUGUAGGGUGGGGGUGUGAGAUGUAGGGUGGGGUGUUAGAUGUAGACUGGUGGUGUUAGAUGUAGGGUGGUGGUGUUAGAUGUAGGGUGGUUGUGUUAGAUGUAGGGUGGUUGUGUUAGAUGUAGGAUGGUGGUAUUACUUACAGGGUGGUGGUGUUAGAUAUAGAGUGGCGGUGUUAGAUGUAGGGUGGUGGUGUUAGAUGUAGGGUGGCGGUGUUAGAUGUAGGGUGGCGGUGUUAGAUGUAGGGUGGUGGUGGUGUUAGAUAUAGUGUGGUGGUGUUAGAUGAGGGUCAUGGUGUUAGAUAGAGGGUGGUAGUGUUAGAUGUAGAGUGGUGGUGUUAGAUAAGGGUCAUGGUGUUAGAUAUAGGUUGGUGGUGCUAGAUAAGGGUCAUGGUGUUAGAUAUAGAGGGGCAGUGUUAGAUGUAGGGUGGUGGUGUUAGAUGUAGGGUGGCGGUGUUAGAUGUAGGGGUGGUUGUGUUAGAUGUAGGGUGGUGGUGUUAGAUAUAGGGUGGUGGUG